rnacentral:hammerhead_ribozyme from 1 species
AUCCGGCUGACGAGUCCUAAAUAGAAGGAAACGCACGUCAAAUUGGAU